rnacentral:rRNA from 1 species
UACGUAGGGGGCAAGCGUUGUCCGGAAUCAUUGGGCGUAAAGAGCGUGUAGGCGGCCCGAUAAGUCCGCUGUGGAAAGUCCAGGGCUCAACCCUGGGAUGCCGGUGGAUACUGUCGGGCUCAGUCCGGAAGAGGAGUGUGGAAUUCCUGGUGUAGCGGUGAAAUGCGCAGAUAUCAGGAGGAACACCAAUGGCGAAAGGCAGCACUCUGGGACGUGACUG